AGUGCAGAAAUGGCUCAUGAGUUGGGAAGUGGUCGGAGCUCUGCGCUGGUGAAAGAGGCUGCUUAGACUUUCAAGAGCUGCUCGACUCCAACAUAGAAGCAGUCAUGACUCAGGAUGGGACCAUCAUGCAGAAAGCGACCACUACCCAGGAACUGACCAUGACUCAGGAACUGACCAUGACCGAGGAUGAGACCAUUACGCACGAAGCAGCCCUGAUCCAAGAACAGACCGUCAUGCAAGAAAAGAGUAGAACUCUGGAGGAAGUGUCUAUCACCCAAGAAGACACCAUUAUCCAGGAAGACACCAUCAGCCAUGAUCAGCCCCAGGAUGCUGGGCCAGCUUCCUCCCAAAACUGGAGGCACCACAGCUGGAAGAGGGUCAAGAAAACCAUUGUGAACUGCCUCAGACACCUGUGUUGCUGCCUGCCUCCUGCAGAGAGAAACCAUGCUUCCUGUAGGAACCAGGCUCCUCAGAAAGGGGAUCUUGGAGGCCCCCACAGAACCACCCCUGAAGAGUUCAAGCCCCAGCUCCAUGGCUUGUGAGCCACAGGUUGAGAUGGUCUGGAUGAGAUUCGAACAGCCCCUCUGGGGAGCCAGGUCAGAUGUCCAGGACAGUCUGGCCACAGGCCCCUUCUGCAGAGGAAGAGCUGUCCACUCCAGAGAACAUCUAUCUCUCCAGGCCACUAUUCACAAUGAGAACUGGACCCAGCACUCACCACCAUGUGCCACACCCCAAGGGACUCUGGUAGGUGUCAUGAUUAGGAGUGAAACUAGGAAACCUAAUGAGGGGUCAGCAACCUGCUGUGGUCCCUGCCUUGAGCCUGCCUGAGCCUGCCUGAGCCUGCUCUCAGCACUGAAAAGCCUUAAGAUUGCUCCUGUUUCUCUGAGCCUUGCAGAAUGCUUCUUGCGAAGGCCGCAUCAACAUGUCACAGCAUGAGAUCCAGAGAAGACUGUGUGACUGGUGUGGUGGUCUGUCUCUCCAGCUGUCUUCCUAAUUAGAACGUCUGAUGACAACCAUCCUGGGAUACCUUCUGUGUUCAAGAAUGUGUCCCUGUGUUCUCCCC